rnacentral:rRNA from 1 species
GACGAACGCUGGCGGCGUGCUUAACACAUGCAAGUCGAACGGAAAGGCCCUGCUUUUGUGGGGUGCUCGAGUGGCGAACGGGUGAGUAACACGUGAGUAACCUGCCCUUGACUUUGGGAUAACUUCAGGAAACUGGGGCUAAUACCGGAUAGGAGCUCCUGCUGCAUGGUGGGGGUUGGAAAGUUUCGGCGGUUGGGGAUGGGCUCGCGGCUUAUCAGCUUGUUGGUGGGGUAGUGGCUUACUAAGGCUUUGACGGGUAGCCGGCCUGAGAGGGUGACCGGCCACAUUGGGACUGAGAUACGGCCCAGACUCCUACGGGAGGCAGCAGUGGGGAAUAUUGCACAAUGGGCGGAAGCCUGAUGCAGCAACGCCGCGUGCGGGAUGACGGCCUUCGGGUUGUAAACCGCUUUCGCCUGUGACGAAGCGUGAGUGACGGUAAUGGGUAAAGAAGCACCGGCUAACUACGUG